AAACUAACAAGGAUUCCCCUAGUAACGGCGAGUGAAGAGGGAAGAGCCCAAGAUUGAAAGCUGGCGUCUUCGGCGUCCGCAUUGUAAUCUCAAGAAGUGUUUUCCGCUUCGGACCAUGCCUAAGUCCCUUGGAAAAGGGCAUCAUAGAGGGUGAUAAUCCCGUACAUGGCAUGGAGCGCCCGAGGCUUUGUGAUACGCUUUCUAAGAGUCGAGUUGUUUGGGAAUGCAGCUCAAAAUGGGUGGUAAAUGCCAUCUAAGGCUAAAUAUUGGGGAGAGACCGAUAGCGAACAAGUACAGUGAUGGAAAGAUGAAAAGAACUUUGAAAAGAGAGUUAAACAGUACGUGAAAUUGCCAAAAGGGAAGGGUAGGAGGUCAGAGAUGCGUCUUGGGAUUCAGCCUUGCUUUUGCUUGGUGUUUUUCCCAAGUUGCAGGCCAACGUCGGUUUUGGGCACUGGAGAAGGGUGGAAGGAAUGUGGCACCUCUCGGGGUGUGUUAUAGCCUUCUACUGGAUACAGCGACCGAGACCGAGGACAGCAGCGUACUCGCAAGAGCGGGCCUUCGGGCACCUUUACGCUUAGGGCGUUGGCAUAAUGGCCCUCUACCAC
rnacentral:rRNA from 1 species